GGCGGUGUAGCCAAGCGGUAAGGCAACGGUUUGCAAAACCGUGUAUCUCCGGUUCGAAUCCGGACGCCGCCU
rnacentral:tRNA from 1 species